rnacentral:lncRNA from 1 species
AAAUUAUUAAAAGAAGUUGUUAAAAAAACAUUUUAUUUGUUUUAUUGGUGAAACGAAGGACAUAAUCCAGACCAAUAACUUUGAAGAGUGGAACGGAUAAAAUUCAAACAAAUUUUGUGACUCUAGAAAUAUGAACACAGCAAAAAUCAGAAGACAUAAGCUUUGGAUGUUUUAUUUAUUCUUGAAGUAGUUAAUUACAUCCUAAGCAUACAGUAGAUGCAUCAAGCACCAGUUUUCAUGGAUAGUGAUUCACUUAGACGCGGCUGUGGAACUGGCGUAAGAAUAAACUCGUAUGCUUUUUUCUGAUUGACGGCCAAAAGCCUGUUCCCUGCUUCAUCCUCAACAAUGGCAACAUUACCGCAGAAGCUGCCGCUAAAUGUACAGAACAAAAGCUUGAAAGUAUUGGCUGAGGAAGCUCUGUCAAUAAUGAA